UUCACAUCUUCUGCAAGUUUAUGUGACGAUCUGUUUAAAGUUUAACAUUGACACGCGUUUAUAUCAUGGACAGUUUCAAGGAUAAAAGAUGUUACAAAACAUCAGUUUAUUAAAAUGUAUGAUGAUAGUUUACAGUUCUAUUGAAUCAAUACAAGAGUGCAGCGUCAACGGAAGUAAAUCAGCAAUUAUUUAAAGGUGGACUUCAAUAUGUAUGAUCUACUUAUGCUGCCACAAUGUAAAGGCAACAAUCACUGGGUUUUGCUGUUUGCAAGUGUUAUGUCCAGGACUGUAACCAUUUACGACUCGUUGGGUGGUAACAACAAGGCAUUGUUCGAUUUGUUCUGCCAGUUCAUGUGUCAACGAGCGCAAAUUGUGAACGAUGGCUUGGAAAAAAUUCAGUUCAGAGUUCAAAGCGCCACCUUGCAACAAACAGCGCCAUGGAAACAGCUGUGGAGUGUUUGCAUUGAUGACUGCCAAAUGUAUGGUCAUGAAAAAGCAUCCCACAAUGUUGCGACAGGCCCAUGAUUCAGCUUAUCAAGACUAGUCGUGAGACGCAGACUUCUGAUUCAUGGAGUGCGGCAAACAUAUCUGUGUGACUCGAUCACUCCACUGUAAAGACCCGCACGGCAUUAAAAUGGAUAUUAUCAAUAUGUGUUGUUGCUCGAAAAUAUGUUUUGUAGCAGGAAGUGCUUUGGGCUCGAUUAAUCUGAGAACUCAACAAAAUAUUAAUAAAAUCCUUCUGUGCCUUUUAGUUCUGAAAACAGAAGUAGCCAGUUGGUAUUACACAUCUCCUAAACAAGUACAGCACAAUAAAACUGAAGGUUUUAAAUCCUACAUUU